UCGACGAAUUUGAUAUUCUUUUACAAAAUAUACUUAUCUUAAUAUGUAUAACCGGAGUUUAUAUUACAUGCCCCUCUCCCAACGAUAGUUGUAGUACUCUUAUAAUAGUAGUACUCAUGAAUACAGUUAAUCCGGGUUGUUGGGAGAGAUCACAUGCAUAAAUACAACAUGAAACAAACGUGUGAAAAAGGUACAUAAAAUCGGUGUGACCCGUUCUUGUAUUAUAAGAAAUCAACUUGCUUAGGCCUUGCCGGACUCCUCACAACCCGGUGGCUUGAAGGCGAUGAAGCUGAUGCACUGCACUUGCCUGGUGUUGUCGAAGCCGAUGAUGCGGACAUAGGCGUCAGGGUACUCCUUCUUCACCUCCUCCAGCUCCUUUAGCACCUGCGUGGCGUCGGUGCACCCGAACAUGGGAAGCUUCCACAUUGUCCAGUACCUGCCGUCGUAGUACCCGGGAGAGUUGCCGUGCUCACGGAAGACGAAACCGACCUUGCUGAACUCGAGGCAAGGAACCCACUUGGAGCGGAUGAGAUACUCGAUCUGCUUCAAGAGGGACUCCACGGUGAGAGGCGGCAGGUAGGAAAGGGUUUCGAACUUCUUGAUGCCCUCAAUUGGCCACACCUACAAUUAGAUUAAUAAUUAGCACCGAAAGUAUAAUUUGAGACACAUAUCAGUAUUUCACUUCAACAUAUGUACAUGAUGACAUACAUACCUGCAUGCACCUGAUCCUUCCACCGUUGGAGACGCUGCCGAGACCAGCGCUGGCUGAGCGGCGGCCGAUGGGGAGCCCGGCGGUGGACUUGAGGCCCUGGAAAGGAGCAACGGCAGUAGCCGCUGACGACAUCACU
rnacentral:lncRNA from 1 species